rnacentral:rRNA from 1 species
UACGUAGGGUGCAAGCGUUGUCCGGAAUUAUUGGGCGUAAAGAGCUCGUAGGCGGUCUGUCGCGUCGGCUGUGAAAACCCGGGGCUCAACCCCGGGCCUGCAGUCGAUACGGGCAGACUAGAGUGCGGUAGGGGAGACUGGAAUUCCUGGUGUAGCGGUGAAAUGCGCAGAUAUCAGGAGGAACACCGGUGGCGAAGGCGGGUCUCUGGGCCGUAACUGACACUGAGGAGCGAAAGCGUGGGGAGCGAACAGG